GUGACCUCAAAUCAGGUAGGACUACCCGCUGAACUUAAGCAUAUCAAUAAGCGGAGGAAAAGAAACUAACAAGGAUUCCCCUAGUAACUGCGAGUGAAGCGGGAAAAGCUCAAAUUUAAAAUCUGGCAGUCUUUGGCUGUCCGAGUUGUAAUCUAGAGAAGUGUUAUCCGCGCUGGACCGUGUACAAGUCUCCUGGAAUGGAGCGUCAUAGAGGGUGAGAAUCCCGUCUUUGACACGGACUACCGAUGCUUUUGUGAUGCGCUCUCGAAGAGUCGAGUUGUUUGGGAAUGCAGCUCAAAAUGGGUGGUAAAUUCCAUCUAAAGCUAAAUAUUGGCGAGAGACCGAUAGCGAACAAGUACCGUGAGGGAAAGAUGAAAAGCACUUUGGAAAGAGAGUUAAACAGUACGUGAAAUUGUUGAAAGGGAAACGCUUGAAGUCAGUCACGUUGGCCGAGACUCAACCUUGCGAUCUCGCACAGGUGCACUUCUCGGUUGACGGGUCAGCAUCAAUUUUGACCGCCGGACAAAGGUUGGGGGAAUGUGGCAUCUCUCGGGAUGUGUUAUAGCCCCUGGUCGUAUACGGCGAUCGGGAUUGAGGAACUCAGUGUGCCUUUAUGGUCGGGGUAUCAACCCACGUAACAUG
rnacentral:rRNA from 1 species